UUCGGCUCAGUAACACGUAGCUAACCUACCCUUAAGUCGAGGAUACUCUCGGGAAACUGAGGUUAAUACUCGAUAGGAGAUGUACCCUGGAAUGAUUCAUCUCUCAAAUUCGAGCUUAAGGAUGGGGCUGCGGCGGAUUAGGUUGUUGGCGGGGUAAAAGCCCACCAAGCCGAUGAUCCGUAAGGGCUCUUAGCGGAGAGGCCCUGAGAGGGAAUCUGAGACACUAUUCCCAGCCCUACGGGGUGCAGCAGUUAGGAAUCUUCUGCAAUGCGCGCAAGCGUGACAGAUUGAGUCAGAGUGCUUUUCAUAUGAAAAGCUUUUGCCAAAUGUAAAAAGUUUGGCGAAUAAGGACUGGGUAAGACGGGUGCCAGCCGCCGCGGUAAUACCCGCGGUCCAAGUCGCAGCCAUCAUUAUUGGGUCUAAAACAUCCGUAGCUUGCUUGAUAAGUUUCUUGUGAAAUUCCAUGUCUCAAAUAUGGAGCGGGCAAGAAGUACUGUUAAGCUAGAGACUGGAAGACGUAAGAAGUACGUUUGGAGUAGCGGUAAAAUGUGUUAAUCCCAGACGGACUAACAACAGCGAAGGCAUCUUACGAGGACAGUUCUGACAGUAAGGGAUGAAGGCUAGGGGCGCGAAAGGGAUUAGAUACCCCUGUAGUCCUAGCAGUAAACACUGCACACUAAACAUUAGUACCUCCUCGAGAGGUGUUAGUGCUGAAGAGAAGUCGAAGAGUGUGCUACCUGGGAAGUAUAGUCGCAAGGCUGAAACUUAAAGGAAUUGGCGGGGGAGCAC
rnacentral:rRNA from 1 species